rnacentral:lncRNA from 1 species
AACCAGUAACCUGAGUGGCAAGCAAGUCUUGAUUAGAACCAAAGAGCAGGGAAACCGUCAGAGAAGCAAACGGCAGCACCAGGGGAAGAUCUGGGAUUUUCGGCCCCAAGGGGCACCCCAGAGGAGGGAAAAACCCCCUCUCUGGGGCUGGGUUGAGAAACUACUUGUGUGAAUAAUGAGUUGAGAUGGACUUGACCAAGUGCCAAGCAGUAGCAGGCGUCCUGGAGACUGGAGACCGGCCGCGGAGUGGAAUCUAUGUCUUAGCCUAAGAUGCUCAGACAGGUCCGAGCCUUGUCCCCUGCUCAGGGGUGCGCCAGUGCCUGCAGGUGGCCACGUUCCUGCCCUUCAUGUGACCCUGAAGUGCCCCAGAGAUGACGUCUGUUCUCGGAAGGGGAGGCUCAGUGAAACUCCACUCCCUUUGCUUCCAGGAGCAGCAGCAACUAUGCUUGCACACAGCAAAAAGCCAGAGUUGCCUCAGUUUGGAGGUCAUGUGGCCAGGCUUCCUGCAGCCGGAUCGUGACUCAGCUCGAGAAGGCUCGGGCUGCACCCCACCCACCACAGCCCUCAGAGGCCAGCCACGUCGCGCCUCUGCCCGCGCUGCACGCCCAGCACAUGGUUCUGCCCACCCCCGCAGCUGGCCUCCUGGGGACACUUCACCCCUGCCCCCAGGAGGUGACGGACAGGCUGGGCGCCGGCACAGCCAACUCGGGCUGCAUAGCUGGAGAAGUGAUAGCCAUCAAGCACUCCGGGACGGGGAAGUCUUGGGGCUGGCAGGCUGCCACCUCUUCUGGGAUUCUGACACCCUAAUGCACAAUGGGGACCCUACAAACCCAUGUGGGGGCAGGAGUGCUGCGUCUCAGCCUGUGGUCAGCCCGUAAUGGAGACAUUUUAAAAUAUGCAACAUGAAAGAGAAGUUCUGGGUAGGCCCUGCUAAGAGAGAGGCCCCAGAAACUCUGGAAGGGCACCUGAGACUGCCCUGAAUGUGCCCAGAGGACAGCGAGCAGGGCCCCAGCUUCAGGGCCCCCUUCCCAGAGCUUGGACUUGCCCUGCUCUCAGGAUAGGGCUGAGCCCGAACCUGCCUGUUCUGAUCACCCGAGGAGAGGGUCAGAGAGCCUGAAGGCAAGUGAGUGGGGGUAGGGUCUGCCCAUCCCAUCCAGACCCCACCCGCACCCGCCGGGGGUGCUUCCCAACAGCUCUGGCUGCAUAUCCUGUGUUCUAGCCCAGCUUGGGUGAGCCCCAACCAGGUGGCACUGGCAGACUCUCCAGAGACAGCAGGAAGGGGAGUCGGGUCCCAGAGGCCACGCCUUCCCCUGCACAAACAGGAGAGGCCCACUCUGGGACCUAGGAAGCCUCCUGUGACCCUGGUGGCCCCAGCUGACCCUUGGGAAGGCCUCCCGCAGAUGCAGCCCACACCUGCUCAGGGGAGCCCAGAGGGACGAGGCCAGCAGGAACCCCAAGUCAGGGGUGAUGGCUGCCUCUCCCACAGAAGGAUGGGUGGGGAUGCUGGAACCCUCUGUGUUCUGUUCAGUGGCUUGGUCCACAGGAGCAGGCUGCAUUCUGGCUAAAAGCCUGGAACCAGCUGCACAGGGUGCUCUGCAGACCCCACCUCCAGAGCGUCCAGCCACCUGCUCCAGAAGCAGCAGGCACCGCCACCCUGAGCUGUCCAGCCUCAGGGGUCCCCUGGGAUGUCUGAUGGGCCUCAGCCCAGGAGGCAUCGAGGGCCCUACAGAGGAGGCCAGGAUCGGUGCCCUGAUCCUUGGGGCUGCGCUGGGUCCAUGAGGCUGAGAGGCGGGGAAGGGCAAUGGCUGAGGGGCUGCCCCAGGAAGGGGCCGGCCGCCCUGCUGCAACCUGCCCACCACUACCCUGAGUCUAAGCCCUCUUUGUUGGUGAGCAGCGUUCCCUUGCACCAACCCUAAUCCAGCUCUAAUUAGAGGGAGAACGAGAGCUCUGAAUGAUGGCGUGGCUGGAGGGGGAGCCCGAGGGGUGCUCACCUGCUGGCCCAGCAGGGGCGCCUCCUCGGCUUGUGGAAUGUGGCUUUGAGGGCUGUGGCCCCUCCAGACAGGAACCUGGGUGCCUGGGGGCACCUCUGCAGGCUCGGCACCAGACAGAAGGGGAGGAAGGGGUGAGUGUGGCUGGGGGACGGCACAGGGUCAGGUUACAUGGCCGUGGGGUCAGAAAGAGGACAGCUGCCACAUGCCAGCGAUGGGGCCCCAGAGGUGCUCUGCCCAGGCUGCCAGGAGAGGGUCUCCUCCAGCAGGAAAACUGGCUGGGCAGUGGAGGUGCAGCCAGCUUCUGGAGGCACGAGUUGGGGAGGGGGCAGUAGAGUAGGGGAGGGGUCACAAGCAGGGUCUUGUCCAUGUCACCUCAGCCUAGCCCACCUGCAGCACGCAUGCGAUGCUCUUGGCCACUGCGGGUAAGCGGGGCUGCCCUCUUGCUAUCUCAUUGCCCCUGGCCAGGUACCCUGGCUGCACCUGUCCUGUUCUGAUGGCUUCUGUGCCAUCUCAUUCGCUGCUGUGUGACAUCGGGUAAGUUCUCUAACCUCUCUGUGCCCGUUCAUCUGAAAAAUGGGCACAAUCGGAGGAUCAGACAAGAUGUCCAGGGCUGUCAAAUGCUCAGCGCAGAGCUCAAGGCGGGCUCUUCCUUCUCAGAGCCAGGCUGUUCCAUGAACCUCUGCAGUGUGAGCCCGCAGGACGAGGGGGUGGUGGCCAGCCAUGCAGAUGUCCGUCCCAUGGGGGCAGCCUUUGGGGAGAGCCCCCUCCAGGUCCUGAAUUUGCUUCCUUCGGUGAAUUAGCAAUUUGGCACAGAAAUAGCCGGUGCUUCGUAGAUCUACAUGGUGAAGCUUCCGAACCUUUAAGGACUUUGGGCAGCCACCAAGCUGUCCCUGAGCUUCUCAGGUAAGCCCUCACACAGUGAGUGGUCAGCCUGGCACAGGCAGUCAAGGAUUCCACAGUCUAGAAGCCAUGGAUAAAGUGGUAACAGGGAAGAAGGGGUGCAGAGGGGCUGGGUGGACACUCAGUGCCCUUGCUAAGGUGGUCUCCGAAGCCCGAGUGAAGGCCAGGACCACCCCCAGCUCUCGCCCCUGUGACUGCCCAGCCUGGAGUCUGACCUAACCCAUCAAAGUUCGUGUUGCUGAAAACUCCUCUUCAGGAAGUACCAGGAGCAGGGUCCUGAGCUGCGAGGACCCCGCCAUGCAGGAUCCAGACUCAGGGUCGAGAAACCAGGCCCUGACCAGUGUGCUGGACUCUGGGGGAGCUGGGAGCCUGGGCAAGCGUUCACGGUGGAUAACUGUGUUCAGAUGCUGUGCACUGUCAUUUAAACACUUUUAAAAGAAAGCCAGUUAAUCUUCGACAAAUGAGGCAAGAAUAUAAAAUGAUAAAAAGACAGUCUUUUCAGCAAGUGGUGCUGGGAAAACUAAACAGCUGCCUGCAAAUCAAUGAAACCGGAAUGCACCCUCACACCAUGCACAAAAGUAAACUCAAAAUGACUUAAAGACUUCAACAUAAGGCAAGACACCAUCAAACUCCUGGAAGAGAACACGGGCAAAACAUUCUCUGACAUCAACCUUACAAAUGUUUUCUCACGUCAGUCUCCCAAGGCAACAGAAAUAAAAGCAAAAAUAAACCAAUGGGACAUAAUCAAACUGACAAGCUUUUGCACAGCAAAGGAAACCAUUAAAAAAAAAUGAAAAGAUAACUUACAGAAUGGGAGAAAAUAGUUUCAAACGAUGUAACUGACAAGGGCUUAAUCUCUAGAAUAUACAAACAACUUGUACAGCUCCACAGCAAAAAAGCCAACAACACAAUCGAAAAAUGGCCAAAAGACCUGACUAGACAUUUCUCCAGAGAAGAUACACAGAUGGCCAACAGACACAUGAAAAAAUGCUCAGCACCACUGAUCACGAGAGAAAUGCAACUCAAAACUACCCCUCGCACCAGUCAGAAUGGCCAUCAUUAAUGAGUCCACAAAUGACAGAUGCAGGGGGGUGUGGAGGAAAGGGAUCCCUCCUGCACUGCUGGUGGGAAUGUAGGCUGGUGCAGCCACUGUGGAGGACAGUAUGGAGGUACCCCAACAAAACUAAAUGUAGAAUGAUCUUUUGACCCAGCCAUCCCGCCCUUGGCAUAUAUCCAGACAAAACUUUCCUUGAAAAAGACAGAUGGCCUGCUAUGUUCAUUGCAGCACUAGUCACAGCAGCCAAGACAUGGAAAUAACCUGAAUGUCCUUAGACAGAUGAAUGGAUUAAGAAGAUGUUACAUAGGAGUUCCCAUCGUGGCGCAGUGGAAACGAGUCUGACUAGGAACCAUGAGGUCGCGGGUCCAAUCCCUGGUCUUGCUCAGUGGGUUAAGGAUCUGGCCUUGCCAUGAGCUGUGGGUCACAGAUGUGCUUGGAUCUGGCAUUGCUGUGGCUCUGGGGUAGGGCGGCAGCUACAACUCUGAUUAGACCCUUAGCCUGGGAACUUCCAUAUGCACUGGGUGCAGCCCUAAAAAAAAAAAAAGGCAAAAAAAAAAA